rnacentral:rRNA from 1 species
GGAAACUGCCUGAUGGAGGGGGAUAACUACUGGAAACGGUAGCUAAUACCGCAUAACGUCGCAAGACCAAAGAGGGGGACCUUCGGGCCUCUUGCCAUCAGAUGUGCCCAGAUGGGAUUAGCUAGUAGGUGGGGUAACGGCUCACCUAGGCGACGAUCCCUAGCUGGUCUGAGAGGAUGACCGGCCACACUGGAACUGAGACACGGUCCAG